rnacentral:rRNA from 1 species
UACGUAGGGGGCGAGCGUUGUCCGGAUUCAUUGGGCGUAAAGAGCUCGUAGGCGGUUCGGUAAGUCAGGUGUGAAAACUCCAGGCUCAACUUGGAGACGCCACCUGAUACUGUCGUGACUAGAGUCCGGUAGGGGAGCAUGGAAUUCCUGGUGUAGCGGUGAAAUGCGCAGAUAUCAGGAGGAACACCGGUGGCGAAGGCGGCGUCCUGGACCAACACUGACACUGAUGAGCGAAAGCCAGGGGAGCAAACGGG